rnacentral:rRNA from 1 species
CGGCGGACGGGUGAGUAACGCGUGGGUAACCUACCCUGUACACACGGAUAACAUACCGAAAGGUAUGCUAAUACGGGAUAAUAUAUUUGAGAGGCAUCUCUUGGAUAUCAAAGGUGAGCCAGUACAGGAUGGACCCGCGUCUGAUUAGCUAGUUGGUAAGGUAACGGCUUACCAAGGCGACGAUCAGUAGCCGACCUGAGAGGGUGAUCGGCCACAUUGGAACUGAGACACGGUCCAA